UUGAAAUUCUUUGAAAUACUAAAAUUGGAAUGAUACAGAGAAGAUUGGCAUGGGCUCUGCAUAGGGAUGUGCUAGAAUUCCUUCCAAUUCAGAUUCGGUACAGAAUUUU